rnacentral:rRNA from 1 species
UACGGAGGGUGCAAGCGUUGCUCGGAAUUAUUGGGCGUAAAGGGUAGGUAGGUGGUCUCAUUUGUCUGGGGUGAAAGCCUUGAGCUUAACUCAAGAAGUGCCCCAGAAACGGUGAGACUGGAGUCCUGGAGAGGGUCGUGGAAUUCCCGGUGUAGCGGUGAAAUGCGUAGAGAUCGGGAGGAACAUCAGUGGCGAAGGCGGCUCACUGGCCCGAUACUGACGCUGAGGUGCGAAAGCGUGGGGAGCAAACAGG